rnacentral:rRNA from 1 species
AGCAGCCGCGGUAAUUCCAGCUCCAAUAGCGUAUAUUAAAGUUGUUGCAGUUAAAAAGCUCGUAGUUGAAUUUCGGGAUCAAUACGUCGGUCGUGCUUCGGUACGUACUGGCGUAAUUGAUUUCUCCCUUCUGACGAACCAUGAUGUCAUUAACUUGGUGUCAUGGGAAAUCAGGACUGUUACUUUGAAAAAAUUAGAGUAGUUUAAAGCAGGCUAACGCUUAGAAUACAUUAGCAUGGAAUAAUGAAAUAGGACGUUUGAUCCUAUUUUGUUGGUUUCUGGGAUCGACGUAAUGAUUAAUAGGGAUAGGUUGGGGGCAUUAGUAUUCAAUUGUCAGAGGUGAAAUUCUUGGAUUUAUUGAAGACUAACUACUGACGAAAGCAUUUGCCAAGGA